CGUUCGAUUUCGGAGAGGGAGCAUAGAAACGGCUACCACAUCUAAGGAAGGCAGCAGGCGCGUAAAUUACCCAAUCCUGACUCAGGGAGGUAGUGACAAGAAAUAGCAAACCGGGAACCUCAUGGUUUCACGGUAUUGCAAUGAGAACAAUUUAAAACCCUUAGCGAGAAUCAAGUGGAGGACAAGUCUGGUGCCAGCACCCGCGGUAAUUCCAGCUCCACUAGCGUAUAUUAAAGUUGUUGCAGUUAAAAAGCUCGUAGUUGAACCUCUGUCUGGGGCUAGUUUUGGCUUUGGUCAGGCUAGUUCUAGGCAUCAUCCUACAAGACUUAGAGGGCAUUCAGUUGUCCACUAGGAGGAGUAGGCAUUUUACUUUGAAAAAAUUAGAGUGUUUAAGGCAGGCAAUCGCCCGCAUAUAUUAGCAUGGAAUAAUAGAAUAGGACACUUUUCCAUUUCGUUGGUUAUUGGAAUCGUGUAAUGAUUAAUAGGGACAGUUGUGGGCAUUUGUAUUUAAUUGUCAGAGGUGAAAUUCUUGGAUUUAUUAAAGACAAACUAACGCGAAAGCAUUUGCCAAGGAUGUUUUCAUUAAUCAAGAACGAAAGUUAGGGGAUCAAAGACGAUCAGAUACCGUCCUAGUCUUAACUAUAAACUAUUCCGACUCAAUGUUUGACUGGCUUAUAUAACCAGUUGAGCGUUGUAUGAGAAAUCAAAGUCUUUAGGUUCUGGGGGGAGUAUGGUUGCAAAGCUGAAACUUAAAGGAAUUGACGGAAGAGCACAACCAGGAGUGGAUUCUGCGGCUUAAUUUGACUCAACACGGGGAAACUUACCAGGUUAAAACAAUAGUGGGAUUGACAGUUUGAGAGCGCUUUCUUGAUUGGUUGGGUGGUGGUGCAUGGCCGUUCUUAGUUGGUGGAGUGAUUUGUCUGCUUAAUUGCGUUAACGAACGAGACCUUAACCUGCUUACUAGACUGGCGAUCAUCAAUCGUUAGCUCUUCUUAGAGGGACUUUGGUUGUUUUAACUCCAAGGAAGUUUGAGGCAAUAACAGGUCUGUGAUGCCCUUAGAUAUCCUGGGCCGCACGCGUCAUACAAUGACUAGUUCAGAAAGUUUUCUCCUGACCCGAAAGGGGAUGGGUAAUCUUGAUAAUACUAGUCGUGUUAGGGAUCGAUCUUUACAAUUAUGGAUCUUGAACGAGGAAUUCCUAGUAAGUGCGGUUCAUCAGACCGUACUGAUUACGUCCCUGCUCUUUGUACACACCGCCCGUCGCUUCUACCGAGUGGGUGGUCCGGUGAGAUAAUUGAACUUCGCAGGUAACUGAGAGGAAAGACUAUCAAACCUAUCCACCUCGAGGAAGAAGAAGUCGUAACAAGGUU
rnacentral:rRNA from 1 species